rnacentral:rRNA from 1 species
GACGAACGCUGGCGGCGUGCCUAAUACAUGCAAGUAGAACGCUGAAGGAGGAGCUUGCUUCUCUGGAUGAGUUGCGAACGGGUGAGUAACGCGUAGGUAACCUGCCUGGUAGCGGGGGAUAACUAUUGGAAACGAUAGCUAGUACCGCAUAAGAGUAGAUGUUGCAUGACAUUUGCUUAAAAGGUGCAAUUGCAUCACUACCAGAUGGACCUGCGUUGUAUUAGCUAGUUGGUGGGGUAACGGCUCACCAAGGCGACGAUACAUAGCCGACCUGAGAGGGGGCUCGGCCACACUGGGACUGGGACACGGCCCAGACUCCUACGGGAGGCAGCAGUAGGGAAUCUUCGGCAAUGGACGGAAGUCUGACCGAGCAACGCCGCGUGAGUGAAGAAGGUUUUCGGAUCGUAAAGCUCUGUUGUAAGAGAAGAACGAGUGUGAGAGUGGAAAGUUCACACUGUGACGGUAUCUUACCAGAAAGGGACGGCUAACUACGUG